GGCAAUUCGGUCAUUUCACAACCUCUCUCUGUAGUAGUAGUAGUACUACUACUAAUACGAGAGCUCAUCACUCAUGGCGCCCUUCGUUCUCUCUCUCUCUCUCUCUCUCUAUAUCCCUCGCAAUCCUCGAUUCCUCAAAACCCUAAACCCUAAUCCUAAAAUCGAAGGAACCCUAGGUCUCCGUAUCGCGAUUCCUCGCGCCAUUGGAUGAUCCGGAGGGUGCCGCGCUCGAUCGACGUAAGAAGGUAGGGUUUUUGAUCACGGAUUGGGCCUAGGAAGCCCUGGAACAUCGGGGUUUUGGACGUGGGAGAAAGGGAGCAGAGUUGAAUUUUGGAGCUGUGGAGGAUAUAGAGAGAGAGAGAGAGAGAGUGUGUGUGUGUGUGUAUAAAAUAGUGUGGAAAAGAUGUUGUGGAGGGUGGGGACGGGGGGGAAAAGGAGGGGAUUUUUUUGGUUUUUUUUUUUGUGUUUUUGGUUGAGGGAUUAGAUUAAGGGAACAGUUGUGGAUGGCGAGGAUUAGUUUAAUCCCCGCGUAUCUUGCAAUAUCUUGAGGGUUUUAGCCCAAAUCUCUCCCAUUCGCUUCAUUGGAUCUCUCUUUGUUGUGUGUGUGUGAGAGAGAGAGAGAGAGGGAGUGGCGGGGUCUCUUCUUCUUGUUCCUUUCUCUUCGUUGUGGCAAUCGUUGACACUGUGGUUAGCUCAUUUGCGCUCUCUACUUCUCUUUCAUUUUGGGGUGGUUUUAGCCCCAAUCUACUCUACCCUUUUCUCUCUCAUGGACCGCAGUUUCGAUUUGGGCAAUUGGUUUGGUUGAAGCAGGAGGCAGGGAAAUCGCAGAGAAACGCCAAAGUUAUCAUCUUUAGCUCUCUAGGAGGAGGGAAAUGGAAGAGAGAGGCGCAAAUGAGGGGUUUUUGAUGCGGAGGAUUUGAAAAGGUGGGGUUUUUGGGUUGAUGGGUUCGACGGAGAUGGACGUUGGAGGCGGCGGCGGCGGAGGAGGAGGAGGAAGAGGGGGUGGGUGGCGGGGGCAGGGGC
rnacentral:lncRNA from 1 species